rnacentral:rRNA from 1 species
UACGUAGGGGGCGAGCGUUGUCCGAAGUACUGGGCGUAAAGCGCGCGUAGGCGGGGGAUUAAGUGAGAGGUGAAAGGCUGGGGGCUCAACCUCAUGCAGUGCCUCUCAUACUGGUCCUCUUGAGGGCGGUAGGGAGAAGUGGAAUGGCUGGGUGUAGCGGUGAAAUGCGUAGAUAUCGGAAAGGAACAUCAGUGGCGAAAAGCGGACUUCCUGGACCAGUACCGACGUUCAGGCACGAAAGC